rnacentral:rRNA from 1 species
GACGAACGCUGGCGGCGUGCUUAACACAUGCAAGUCGAACGCUGAAGCUCAGCUUGCUGGGUGGUUGAGUGUCGAACGGGUGUGUAUCACGCGAGUAACCCGCCCCCUUCUUUGGGAUAACGCUUGGGAACGGGUGCUAAAACCCGAUAUUUACUUACUCUCGCAUGGGUGUUGGUGGAAAGGUUUGUUCUGGUGGGGGUUGGGCUCGCGGCCGUUGAGGUUGUAGGUGGGGUGUUGGCCGUCCAAGGUGUGGGCGGGUAGCCGGCCUGAGAGGGUGACCGGUCACGAUGGGACUGAGAUACGGCCCAGACUCGUGCGGCAGGCAGCAGUGGGACAUAUUGCAGAAGGGGCGAAUACCUGAUGCAGCGCCGCCGCGUGAGCGAGCAAGGCCUUGGGGGUGUGAACGUCUUUCGGUCAUUGUAGCGCCGUAGGUUUGGGUGGUAGUGACGGUAGUGGGUAAAGAAGCGCCGGCUAACUACGUG